GGUAAUUCUAGAGCUAAUACAUGCACAAUAGCCCCGACCUUACGGAAGGGGUGCUUUUAUUAGAUCAAGACCAAUCGGACUUCGGUCCGUUUCUUGGUGACUCUGAAUAACUUUGUGCCGAUCGCAUGGUCUAGCACCGGCGACGCAUCUUUCAAAUGUCUGCCUUAUCAACUGUCGAUGGUAGGUUAUGCGCCUACCAUGGUUGCAACGGGUAACGGGGAAUCGGGGUUCGAUUCCGGAGAGGGAGCCUGAGAAACGGCUACCACAUCCAAGGAAGGCAGCAGGCGCGCAAAUUACCCACUCCCGGCACGGGGAGGUAGUGACGAAAAAUAACGAUGCAGGACUCAUCCGAGGCCCUGUGAUUGGAAUGAGUACACUUUAAAUCCUUUAACGAGGACCUAUUGGAGGGCAAGUCUGGUGCCAGCAGCCGCGGUAACUCCAGCUCCAAUAGCGUAUAUUAAAGUUGCUGCGGUUAAAAAGCUCGUAGUUGGAUAUCGGUCGCGAUCAGGUGGUGCCGCCUCGCGGUGUGCACUGCCUCGAUUGGACAAUCCACCGGACUGUCCGGGGUGCUCUUAACCGAGUGUCCUGGGUGGCCGGUACGUUUACUUUGAACAAAUUAGAGUGCUUAAAGCAGGUGCUCCGCGCCUGAAUAUCACAGCAUGGAAUGAUGGAAUAGGACCUCGGUCUUAUUUUGUUGGUUUUCUGGACUUGAGGUAAUGGUUAAUAGAGACAGACGGGGGCAUUCGUACUGCGACGCUAGAGGUGAAAUUCUUGGACCGUCGCAAGACGAACAACUGCGAAAGCAUUUGCCAAGAAUGUUUUCAUUAAUCAAGAACGAAAGUUAGAGGUUCGAAGGCGAUCAGAUACCGCCCUAGUUCUAACCAUAAACGAUGCCAACCAGCGAUCCGCAGACGUUACUUCAAUGACUCUGCGGGCAGCUUCCGGGAAACCAAAGUUUUUGGGUUCCGGGGGAAGUAUGGUUGCAAAGCUGAAACUUAAAGGAAUUGACGGAAGGGCACCACCAGGAGUGGAGCCUGCGGCUUAAUUUGACUCA
rnacentral:rRNA from 1 species